AUACGGAGGAUGCAAGCGUUAUCCGGAUUUAUUGGGUUUAAAGGGUGCGUAGGCGGACGUGUAAGUCAGGGGUGAAAUACCGGGGCUCAACCUCGGAACUGCCUUUGAUACUGCAUGUCUGGAGUUCGGAUGCCGUGGGAGGAAUGGGCAGUGUAGCGGUGAAAUGCAUAGAUAUUGCCCAGAACACCGAUUGCGAAGGCAUCUCACGAAUCCGACACUGACGCUGAGGCACGAAAGCGUGGGGAUCAAACAGGAUUAGAUACCCUGGUAGUCCACGCAGUAAACGAUGAUGACUAACCGUCGGCGAUAGACAGUCGGUGGCCAAGCGAAAGCGAUAAGUCAUCCACCUGGGGAGUACGUUCGCAAGAAUGAAACUCAAAUGAAUUGACGGGG
rnacentral:rRNA from 1 species